rnacentral:misc_RNA from 1 species
UUUUUUUUUUCUUUUUUAAAUUUAUUGGAGGUCUAUCGAGGUGGGCUACAUUGGGUAGCUCACACUCUCCUUAAACUCUAGCUGCUUGAGUUAAUGAGCAACACCUUUUCUUAGGAGUUGCUGGAUUUGGAUUUUGAUUCCAAGACUUCUUAGCUCUACCCACUAAAUUUUUAUUAUAAUUAUUUAUAGAUUAAUCCAUUUGAUUUAGGAUUGUUGUUAGAGAUCUGGAGAGCUCAAAGCAAUUAGAGAGAAUUCAUUUUAAUGGGUAUUAUGAAAGAACACCGGGCUUGACACCAGAUUCAACCCAAAGCAACGAGUCUACCAGUACUUAUCACUUAUAUUGUCUUUCACUCAUCUUAUAUUAUUUAUUCGAUGUGAGAAUUACACACUUAUAUAUUCCUAAAAGAGAGAUGCUAGAGCCAUCACUUGUACCGAAUCGAACUGCUCUUCUUCAGUUCUUCAUAAGAGUGUCUGCCUGUUCCAUUGGGCCUACCAAGAGUCACUUGACUCUUUUAUUCAAGUGUCAGAGCUCAUACUCAUCCCUUGCUAAACCAAGACUCUGGUACCACUUGUUAGAGAUCUGGAGAGCUCAUUCUUGAUGGGUCUUAUGGAAGAACACUCUUGACACCACAUUCAACCAAAAAACUUAAGACAAUGAGCCUAUGGACUUCCCACUUAUAUGUCUCUCACUCGUCCCAUCUUUUUUUCGACGUCGGAAUUCCACACUUGUAAAUUCCCAUUGGACGAUUACAUAUGAUUUGGAUUUCUUCAACGGUUCAAAGCACUUCCUUUUCAUGUUUUUGAUGGUUUUUAUGUUAAAUUUAUUUAUUUAUGUGCAUGUGAUCCAUUUAAGAUACUGCAUGAGAUAGUGUGUAAUUUUUUUUUCUUGUGUAUAUGAUACAGCCAUUGUGUUUUUGAAACACAAGAUUUCUGAAAUAAUCUAGCAAUAGUUUCGUCCAUUGUAUCAGUUUUAUCUAGUUUCUGAGACGUAGUUAUUGUUUGCCAUGCAGUUUUCUCCUUGGCAUGAUAUACCAU